rnacentral:misc_RNA from 1 species
CAACCCCCAUCAAGCCCGGCUUGUGUGUUGAGCGCUGGCCCCCCAGGGGCCUGCUCCAAAUGCAGUGGCGGCGUCGCUCAACCAAGGGUGACCGAGCAUAUGGGAGACUUAUUCUGGAUGCUCGCACGCUCCCGGUGAACGCUGGCCUCGAACCCGACCCCUACCAGCUAGGGAUCGCUUCCAUUCA